rnacentral:rRNA from 1 species
GAUGAACGUUGGCGGUGUGCCUAAUACAUGCAAGUCGAACGGAGACUGUAGCAAUACUGUCUUAGUGGCGAACGGGUGAGUAACGCGUUGGUGAUCUGCCUCGAAGUGUGGAAUAACCUCCCGAAAGGGAAGCUAAUACCGCAUAGUCUCUCAAGGUUUAGAAAAUUGAGAGUAAAGGAUUUAUUCGCUUCGAGAGGAGCCUGCGUCCCAUCAGCUAGUUGGUAGGGUAACGGCCUACCAAGGCAAUGACGGGUAGGGGACCUGAGAGGGUGGCCCCCCACAAUGGAACUGAAACACGGUCCAUACACCUACGGGUGGCAGCAGUAGGGAAUAUUAGAAAUGGGCGGAAGCCUGAUCUAGCAACACCGCGUGUGUGAUGAAGGCCUUCGGGUCGUAAAGCACUUUUUGGAGGGAAUAGGAAGGAAGGUACCUCCAGAAUAAAGUCUCGGCUAACUACGUG